UACGGAAGGCAGCAGUGGGGAAUAUUGCACAAUGGGCGAAAGCCUGAUGCAGCUAUGCCGCGUGUAUGAAGAAGGCCUUAGGGUUGUAAAGUACUUUCAUCGGGGAGGAAAAACAAAACUAAUAAUUUUAUUUCUUGACGUUACCCGAAAAAGAAGCACCGGCUAACUCCGUGCCAGCAGCCGCGGUAAUACGGAGGGUGCUAGCGUUAAUCAGAAUUACUGGGCGUAAAGAGCACGUAGGUGGUUUUUUAAGUCAGAUGUGAAAUCCCUGGGCUUAACCUAGGAACUGCAUUUUGAAACUGAAAUACUAGAGUAUCGUAGAGGGAGGUAGAAUUCUAGGUGUAGCGGUGAAAUGCGUAGAUAUCUAGAGGAAUACCUGUGGCGAAAGCGGCCUCCUAAACGAAUACUGACACUGAGGUGCGAAAGCGUGGGGAGCAAACAGGGAUUAGAUACC
rnacentral:rRNA from 1 species